GUCAAAGCGUUCAUUAAAGUCGAGUUGGCUUAGGGAUACGUUCGUUGGGUAGGGGAGCGUUCUGUAAGCCUGUGAAGGUGUGUCGUGAGGCAUGCUGGAGGUAUCAGAAGUGCGAAUGCUGACAUAAGUAACGAUAAAGCGGGUGAAAAGCCCGCUCGCCGGAAGACCAAGGGUUCCUGUCCAACGUUAAUCGGGGCAGGGUGAGUCGACCCCUAAGGCGAGGCCGAAAGGCGUAGUCGAUGGGAAACGGGUUAAUAUUCCCGUACUUGGUGUUACUGCGAAGGGGGGACGGAGAAGGCUAUGUUGGCCGGGCGACGGUUGUCCCGGUUUAAGCGUGUAGGUGUGUGUUCCAGGUAAAUCCGGUUCACUUUAACACUGAGGCGUGAUGACGAGGCACUACGGUGCUGAAGCAACAAAUGCCCUGCUUCCAGGAAAA
rnacentral:rRNA from 1 species